GACGAACGCUGGCGGCGUGCCUAAUACAUGCAAGUCGAACGAGAGCGACCGGUGCUUGCACUGGUCAAUCUAGUGGCGAACGGGUGAGUAACACGUGGGUAACCUGCCCAUCAGAGGGGGAUAACAUUCGGAAACGGAUGCUAAAACCGCAUAGGUCCUUUAACCGCAUGGUUGAAGGAGGAAAAGAGGCGCAAGCUUCUGCUGAUGGAUGGACCCGCGGUGCAUUAGCUAGUUGGUGAGGUAACGGCUCACCAAGGCCGUGAUGCAUAGCCGACCUGAGAGGGUGAUCGGCCACAUUGGGACUGAGACACGGCCCAAACUCCUACGGGAGGCAGCAGUAGGGAAUCUUCCGCAAUGGACGCAAGUCUGACGGAGCAACGCCGCGUGAGUGAAGAAGGUUUUCGGAUCGUAAAACUCUGUUGUUAGAGAAGAACAAGUGCUAGAG
rnacentral:rRNA from 1 species